rnacentral:rRNA from 1 species
AGUGAACGCUGGCGGUAGGCCUAACACAUGCAAGUCGAACGGCAGCACAGUAAGAGCUUGCUCUUACGGGUGGCGAGUGGCGGACGGGUGAGGAAUACAUCGGAAUCUACUUUUUCGUGGGGGAUAACGUAGGGAAACUUACGCUAAUACCGCAUACGACCUACGGGCGAAAGCAGGGGAUCUUCGGACCUUUCGCGAUUGAAUGAGCCGAUGUCGGAUUAGCUAGUUGGCGGGGUAAAGGCCCACCAAGGCGACGAUCCGUAGCUGGUCUGAGAGGAUGGUCAGCCAAACUGGAACUGAGACACGGUCCAGACUCCUACGGGAGGCAGCAGUGGGGAAUAUUGGACAAUGGGCGCAAGCCUGAUCCAGCCAUACCGCGUGGGUGAAGAAGGCCUUCGGGUUGUAAAGCCCUUUUGUUGGGAAAGAAAAGCAGCAGGUUAAUACCCCGCUGUUCUGACGGUACCCAAAGAAUAAGCACCGGCUAACUUCGU